rnacentral:rRNA from 1 species
GGGGCACCACCAGGAGUGGAGCCUGCGGCUUAAUUUGACCCAACACGGGAAAACUUACCCGGCCCGGACACCGGAAGGAUUGACAGAUUGAGAGCUCUUUCUUGAUUCAGUGGGUGGUGGUGCAUGGCCGUUCUUAGUUGGUGGAGCGAUUUGUCUGGUUAAUUCCGAUAACGAACGAGACUCUAGCCUACUAAAUAGACUACCGUUCCUUUGUGACGGUAGGACUUCUUAGAGGGACAGGCGGCGACUCAGCCGCACGAAACAGAGCAAUAACAGGUCUGUGAUGCCCUUAGAUGUCCGGGGCCGCACGCGCGCUACACUGAAGUGAUCAGCGUGCAUUAAUAACCCUCUCUGUCAAGAGUGGGUAACCCAUUGAACCUUCUUCGUGAUUGGGAUAGGGUAUUGUAAUUCUUACCCUUGAACGAGGAAUUCCCAGUAAGCGCGAGUCAUAAGCUUGCGUUGAUUACGUCCCUGCCCUUUGUACACACCGCCCGUCGCUACUACCGAUUGAGUGAUUUC